GUUUGAUCCUGGCUCAGAAUCAACGCUGGCGGCGCGCUUAACACAUGCAAGUCGAACGAGAAAGUCCGCAAGGAUGAGUAAAGUGGCGUACGGGUGAGUAACACGUGGAUUAUUUGCCCUUGAGUGGGGAAUAACAAUGGGAAACCGUUGCUAAUACCGCAUAUUCCCGAGAGGGGAAAGCAGCAAUGCGCUCAAGGAGAAGUCCGCGGCCGAUUAGCUUGUUGGUAGGGUAAUGGCCUACCAAGGCUGCGAUCGGUAGCCGGCCUGAGAGGGCACACGGCCACACUGGCACUGAAACACGGGCCAGACUCCUACGGGAGGCAGCAGUGGGGAAUCUUGCACAAUGGAGGAAACUCUGAUGCAGCGACGCCGCGUGAGCGAUGAAGCCCUUCGGGGUGUAAA
rnacentral:rRNA from 1 species